UACAGGGGGGGCAAGCGUUGUUCGGAAUUACUGGGCGUAAAGGGCUCGUAGGCGGCCAACUAAGUCGGACGUGAAAUCCCUCGGCUUAACCGGGGAACUGCGUCCGAUACUGGAUGGCUUGAGUUUGGGAGAGGGAUGCGGAAUUCCAGGUGUAGCGGUGAAAUGCGUAGAUAUCUGGAGGAACACCGGUGGCGAAGGCGGCAUCCUGGACCAACACUGACGCUGAUGAGCGAAAGCCAGGGGAGCAAACGGG
rnacentral:rRNA from 1 species